rnacentral:rRNA from 1 species
GACAGAGGCCUCAAGCGUUUAGGCGGAAUCACUGGGCUUAAAGCGUGUGUAGGCGGAUCGUUAAGUGCCUUGUGAAAUCCCACGGCUUAACUGUGGAACGGCUGGGCAUACUGGCGGUCUUGAGCCAUCUAGGGGCGACUGGAACAAACGGUGGAGCGGUGAAAUGCGUAGAGAUCGUAAGGAAGACCAGUGGCGAAGGCGGGUCUCUGGACAGUUCCUGACACUGAGGCACGAAGGCCAGGGGAGCAAACGGG